rnacentral:rRNA from 1 species
CUGGUUGAUCCUGCCAGAGGCCAUUGCUAUCAGGGUUUGACUAAGCCAUGCGAGUCGAGAGGUGUAAGACCUCGGCAUACUGCUCAGUAACACGUGGUUAACCUGCCCUAGGGUGGAGCAUACUCCCGGGAAACUGGGGCUAAUACUCCAUAGUGGAUGCAUCCUGGAAUGGUGCAUCCUCNAAAGAUCCGUCGCCUUAGGAUGGGACUGGGUCCGAUUAGGGUGGUGGCGGGGUAACGGCCCACCAAGCCAUUGAUCGGUACGGGUUGGGGGAGCAAGAUCCCGGAGAUGGAUUCUGAGACAUGAAUCCAGGGCCUACGGGGCGCAGCAGGCGCGCAAACUUUACAAUGGGAGCAAUCGUGAUAAGGAAACCCUGAGUGGCUGUCGAUGCAGGCUGGUCAUAUAUCUAAAUCAUAUGUGAAGAAAGGGCACGGCAAGAGCGGUGCCANGCCGCCGCGGUAAUACCGGCUGCUCGAGGUGUGGCCACUAUUAGUGGGUUUAAAGCGCCGUAGCUUGGCUGUUAGGGCCCUUGGGAAUCUUCACGCUUAGCGUGAGGGCGCUAAANAUACCGGAGUCUUGAACUGGGAGAGGAAACGUACUUCGGGGGGAGGAGGGAAUCUUGGAUGCUCGGGGGAGACUAUGGGGAAGGAGUUACCAAACAGUUCGA